rnacentral:rRNA from 1 species
AAUCUCAGUUCAGACUGCAGGCUGCAACUCGCCUGCACGAAGUCGGAAUUGCUAGUAAUCGUAGGUCAGCAUACUACGGUGAAUACGUUCCCGGGCCUUGUACACACCGCCCGUCACACCAUGGGAGUCGGUAACACCCGAAGUCGGUAGCCUAACCGUAAGGAGGGCGCCGCCAAGGUGGGAUUGAUGACUGGGGUGAAGUCGUAACAAGGUACC